CCUACGGGUGGCAGCAGUAGGGAAUCUUCCACAAUGGGCGAAAGCCUGAUGGAGCAACGCCGCGUGGGUGAAGAAGGUCUUCGGAUCGUAAAACCCUGUUGUUAGAGAAGAAAGUGCGUGAGAGUAACUGUUCACGUUUCGACGGUAUCUAACCAGAAAGCCAAGGCUAACUACGUGCCAGCAGCCGCGGUAAUACGUAGGUGGCAAGCGUUAUCCGGGUUUAUUGGGCGUAACGGGAACGCAGGCGGUCUUUUAAGUCUGAUGGGAACGCCUUCGGCUUAACCGGAGUAGUGCAUUGGAAACUGGGGGACUUGAGUGCAGAAGAGGAGAGUGGAACUCGAUGUGUAGCGGUGAAAUGCGUAGAUAUAUGGAAGAACACCAGUGGCGAAGGCGUCUCUCUGGUCUGUAACUGACGCUGAGGUUCGAAAGCGUGGGUAGCAAACAGGAUUAGAUACCCGGGUAGUC
rnacentral:rRNA from 1 species